GAUUUCAACAUUUAAACUACAGUGCAGUAAUGUUUAGACAACCUCCAAGUCCUGACUUCUAAUGACUGCAAGAACAGCGGACACCUCAACCCAAUUCAACUGGGAAAAUCCGGUUGGAGAAACCAGAACAAUGCUAUCAGUGAGGCCUUGGAAAAAGCAGUAGCUCCCCUGUGUGGUUUGCUGGUGUAAGAGCACCUGGCACGGCAGGGGGAGAGGUGGGCAUUUGGGUACCAAGACGUAACCUGCACAACUCCUCCACUACAGCAAAAGCAGGUAGGGGACCUUCAGAGGAGCAGAGAGUGUGGCAACAUCGUGGGUGGUAGAUACUUCUUCUAACACGGCACCCCAACGCAUCGUCUUCCAAACAUUCCCGCUCCACCUCUCACCCCCAGUGAAGGAAUGCUUUCAGCUGGACUCACCUGGUCGAAGGGCCGAGGUCAGGCCUCUGGAGGCUGAAGUAUUCUAAUUUUAAAUAGCAGAAGCAGGAAAUGGGAAUCAGCUUAAUACUGUGACAGAGAGCCGUCCUUGACCAAAUAACAAGAGUAAACAGGAGUCAGUCCGCUGGGAUCUCUGCUGCUGCUUUCAAUGAUGCCGCAGCCCUCCACUGGGAGCCAUCAGGUCUAAUGAUUGCUCUGCAGAGAUGAAUCGCCAUUUGUUAUGGAUAGAUGACAACCUGCUGGAUGUCAUUCCACCCCAACGCUGCAGAUAAUUAAACUCUUGCCAAGCUGCAGAUGAGGAAAACCCCAGAGCAGUUGGCCAGCAGGCCCGUCAGCCAGUCGGCCGGCCAGUCCGCUCUGCAGAGGGCCCUGCCAAUCAUCAUCUGCUUCUUCUCAUGCUGUUUUGUACGAGUCUUUCCAUUGCACACGUGCGAUGAUGUACCUGCUGGGGUUAAAGCAAUACACACGUCUCAGGGCCUGUGACAUUUCCAAUAGUUCUCACAGAAACAUUUCAUACUGAUACUAAGCAUUUCUAAAGAAGAAGUUGCUGUAUUCAAGUACGUUUGAGUCAAAAAUUUGGAAACCAACUAUUGUGUGCAGACUGAAUACCAAUGCACAUGUGGUCACAUUAUGUUAAAUAUGACUUAACAUAACAUAAUGUCAGACACAACACAAUAUAAUUAGAUAUGGUAACAAUGCCACAUUAAUGUCAUUGCUUGUUUUAGUCAGCCACAUCUUAAGCAACCAUAAGCCAUUCCAGUUGAUGAUUUCUUUAAGGUCAACCAGCAGCAGUUAUGUGUUUGCACCUGUGCACACAUCUCCUGUACACUCCCCAUCUGUGUGUCUCUUUGUCUUUGUGUACUUAUGUAUGUUUUCUUAACCUUUCUUUAUCAAAGGGAGGUUUGCUGAAUACAUAUGCUUCUGUUUGACAAUGUCCUAUUUCUGAAUCUUCGAUACACUGAGCAGCACAUAAUUAUAUUUUUGAGGGAGGAGAGAAUUUCAUGGAUUCCCAGCCCGGCUUUUAACAAAUACUGUUUGCCAUUCAAUCUGCUGUCACAUCAUAUUGAGUUAGCUAAGAGGCAGUGAGGCUAAUGUCUACAUUUUGCCACUUUUCCUUUAAAAAGUGACAACAAACUGAAACGUUUUCUCAAAAAACGUUAAUACAAAAUAAUAGUCUUUACUUAGAAUAUUCAAGAAUAUUUGUCCUGCCGGGACAACCGGGGGUACUUUGCCUGAAAAUCCUUUUUCACAGCAGAUAUUCUAUUCUAUAUAUUGUGAGCAGGAAAAACCAACAAUAUCUCCAACCUAAACAACAGAAUAGGUAAUUUGUCAAUACCACCAUUAAUGACAAAUAUGAACGUUUGUCAGAAUGAGCAUUUCCCGGAUCACGGCACAGGUCAUCAUGCAUACAUGUACGGCUCGUGGUUGUAAAAAAGGCUGCAGUUUAACCUACAAAACCACUGACCUAGCUUUAAGGCAAAAUACCUUCCUGGUUAGGCGUUAUAAAAGACAGUUUAAACACUAAAUAAAUAUACGUCAAUGCUGGAAGUGAAGUAAAUGACGUGAGCCACGUAAGUUACGUAGAAAGUAAAUUUUGGAAACUUUUGUAAAUGUAAGUCAUAUUUUGCUGCAUGUACAACCGCCUCAAAUUGAUGUUUUUGAGAGAAGACUUAAGAACUAUUAUUACAUACUGAGUCUAAAAGCAAAAAUAAUAAUAAUUCAUAUUUUCCCUUAACAUUUUCCUUAUUCAAUUAACUUUUAAAUUAUAUUGAUGUUCAUUUAACAACACUACGUGUCUGUUUACAGUCUGUUUUUAUGCUCUGUCCUAAAUGGCAUAGUAGGCUAUAUAUAUUUCUAUUGUAAUUCAUAUUUUGCCAUGAGAACAAUCACAAAGAACACUGAUUCAAACAUUUUUUAAGAAUCCGUGCCAAAAAACUCAACGUGUAUUUUUUGUUUAACAUAGAAUGUAAACUCUUAUUUAGAUUGUAAAAGCCUUGAAAAUAAAAAAGCGGGGAGAAAAAAGCCCUUUGACAUCAUCAAGAAUAAAGACAUA